rnacentral:rRNA from 1 species
CACUGGUACUGAGACACGGACCAGACUCCUACGGGAGGCAGCAGUAAGGAAUAUUGGUCAAUGGGCGGAAGCCUGAACCAGCCAUGCCGCGUGCAGGAAGACGGCCCUAUGGGUUGUAAACUGCUUUUGUCAGGGGAUAAACCUAUCUACGUGUAGAUAGCUGAAGGUACCUGAAGAAUAAGGAUCGGCUAACUCCGUGCCAGCAGCCGCGGUAAUACGGAGGAUCCGAGCGUUAUCCGGAUUUAUUGGGUUUAAAGGGUGCGCAGGCGGACUGGUAAGUCAGGGGUGAAAUUCUACGGCUCAACUGUAGGCGUGCCUUUGAUACUGCCGGACUAGAGUUAAGUUGGAGUGGGCGGAAUGUGUUGUGUAGCGGUGAAAUGCUUAGAUAUAACACAGAACACCGAUCGCGAAGGCAGCUCACUAAACUUAGACUGACGCUCAUGCACGAAAGCGUGGGGAUCAAACAGGAUUAGAUACCCUGGUAGUCCACGCUGUAAACGAUGAUCACUCGCUGUUGGCGAUAUACAGUCAGUGGCUAAGCGAAAGUGAUAAGUGAUCCACCUGGGGAGUACGACCGCAAGGUUGAAACUCAAAGGAAUUGACGGGGGCCCGCACAAGCGGAGGAGCAUGUGGUUUAAUUCGAUGAUACGCGAGGAACCUUACCAGGGCUCGAACGUUCAGCGAUUUACCGUGAAAGCGGUAUUCCCUUCGGGGCGAUGAACGAGGUGCUGCGUGGUUGUCGUCAGCUCGUGCCGUGAGGUGUCAGGUUAAGUCCUAUAACGAGCGCAACCCCUAUCGAUAGUUGCCAGCGGGUAGAGCCGGGCACUCUAUUGAAACUGCCUACGCAAGUAGAGA